UACGAAGGGAGCUAGCGUUGUUCGGAAUCACUGGGCGUAAAGCGCACGUAGGCGGAUGUGUCAGUCAGGGGUGAAAUCCCGGAGCUCAACUUCGGAACUGCCCUUGAUACAGCACGUCUUGAGUCCGGAAGAGGUGGGUGGAAUUCCUAGUGUAGAGGUGAAAUUCGUAGAUAUUAGGAAGAACACCGGUGGCGAAGGCGGCGACCUGGUCUGAUACUGACGCUGAGGCGCGACAGCGUGGGGAGCAAACAGG
rnacentral:rRNA from 1 species